UCUAGCGGUCAGUAAAUAAGGGUUGAUGACAGAAGAACUCCACCGUUAAUAGAACCCUUUUGUGAUUCCGAAUACUCAAUUGAACUUCGUUUGUAGGUUUAUGGUAAAGUCAGUCCGUCAUUCCAACAAUUAAGUUGACUUAGUGCUCAGUCACUUUCCAUCCUAUUAGAUCGUUAUGAGUGUCAAAAGCCUGAAACUCAUAUUUGAAGCCUACAUACAGUGGAAUUAGACAAAAGUUCUUGUGCAUGGACCAUGGAUCUUUUCUGAAUCUUGCAAGUGUAACCUGUGUCAGAAUGUUUGUCGAGUGUAUGACUGUUUCUACAGCCGUUCAGAAGGCAACCCAGCUGAGAAAUAGUUCCAGUUUCAGUGAAUGUACAUGAAGAGUGUGAAGUGUAUUUAGUACAUUUACCAGAUCUGCUUGAUGAAAGUCAAAUGCCUUACUGAAUUCGUCACCCAAAUGAUAAAGGUAAACAUCAUUAUCACCUUUUACCAUGCUACUAUGAGUUAAUUUUGUUUAAGCUUCCUUUUAAUUCCCAACUCAU